UUCAAGUUUCAAUGCAACAUUAAUUAUUGAUUUAUCAAUAAUACCCUUACCUAUUUAUUGUAGAGAGAGAAAUAAUAGAAUGAAAUAAUAAAUUAUGGGUAAGGGUAUUAUAGAAAGAGGAGUGAUAUUUGUACAACCAAUUUUGUACAACAUUUGUGACAACCACUUUUUCUUUAUUCUUAUUGGACAAAAACAAUAGAGAGAGAAAGAGAAAGAGGGAUAAUAAAAAAAACAUGUGAGUAUGAGAGAGAGGGUUGUUUCAAAAGUUGUCAAAAAGUGGUUGUACAAAUAUCAUUUCUC
rnacentral:lncRNA from 1 species